rnacentral:rRNA from 1 species
CUUUAUUGGAGAGUUUGAUCCUGGCUCAGGAUGAACGCUGGCGGCGUGCCUAAUACAUGCAAGUCGAGCGAAUGGAUUAAGAGCUUGCUCUUAUGAAGUUAGCGGCGGACGGGUGAGUAACACGUGGGUAACCUGCCCAUAAGACUGGGAUAACUCCGGGAAACCGGGGCUAAUACCGGAUAACAUUUUGAACCACAUGGUUCGAAAUUGAAAGGCGGCUUCGGCUGUCACUUAUGGAUG